CACUGACUGAGCACCUGAGAUAAAUGGGAACCAAGGCCAGUGCCCAGUGCCCUGCCUAAUAUUCUGGCAGCCGCUCCGGCUUUCCACCGUGGACCUUAUUCCCUCUUCAUGGUGUGGGAAGAUGGACUUUUUGUUCAAACUGUAUUUCUGAUGAGUAUCUUGAAUUCAAUAAAAGCCCCCGGGAACGUGAUUGAGUUAAAUCUGGAGAACUUUAAAAGCACAGUGAAUUUAUCAGGGAACGGAAUGAAGACCAUUGUGCUAGAGCAGCAGAAAGCUGCUGGAUGCUGGGCAGAAAAGAUGAAGAUCUGAUGCUGAGGAGAAACAAAGAUCAAGAUGUGCAGGACAGGUGGUGCCCAGACCCUCUCCAGAGGCGUGGAAACAAAUUCAGCCAGACGCUACCGAGGAGCAGUCCUGAAAUAUCCUGUGGGCAGAAGGGAUAAGGGCAAGGUCACUGUUUGGGGGCUUUGGACUCUUUCCCAUCUGCUGUCAAGGUAAACCAUCUCCUAACCUUGCAGAAACUUUUGUAUCUUCAGCAGAAAAAGUGUGUAAAGGGAAGGAGUUAAGUACAGUUUAGCAGGAAACUGUAUGGUGCAUAGAAGAAAAAUAGCUUUGAAUUUUAUAGUCAGCUUUAAUUGAUCACUUCAGCUAAUCUCUUUGAUAUCUAACUGAUGACUGCUUUAGACUUUUUUUUUUUUUUUUUUAAUGAAGGGUUGAACACUGGAUAAGAUCUUUUACAAAUACGAUUAAGGAAAUACACAAAAUCAAGAUGACUAGCUAAUGCUGCACCGCUCAGCUGGUCGAGCAGGAGAGAGGAUAAAUAUUAAAUGCAAUUUAAUAUACAACAAAUUUUCAGUGUCUGGCAUCCCAAUGCAUCAAGAAAUUUUGUUUGCUUCUGGCCAGGAAAAUAUCCUAUUCAUAUUGCUUGGGAAAAAUAAUUACACUGCUCAUGCUUAUUUACACAUUCACAGUUUGCUGGAAAAAGGCUGAUUUUCCACCAUUCACUUACAGAGUUCUUUGAAGAAUUCCUGCUAUUUCAGUAUCAGCAAUACUGUACCUGUUGGGGGCUCUUGUAACCAUUCAAGAGCACAACCCGAAUGAUGCAAGACCAAAAUAUUUCUCCUUACAAGAGACAUCCAAUGACCCAUCUAUAUUAAUGAGAAAAAAAAAAAAAAAAGUAUUAAACUCAUAAACACUU